UGACAGAGAAACCAACCAUUCAAAGCAAAUAUCAUAUGUCCCUAUCCAUUUAAGCAUAUUUUCUCCCCAUGUUGUGAAUCUUACUCUUAUUGAUCUUCCUGGGCUUACUAAAGUAGCAGUUGAUGGCCAACCGGAGAGGUC